rnacentral:rRNA from 1 species
GACAGAGGAUGCAAGCGUUAUCCGGAAUGAUUGGGCGUAAAGCGUCUGUAGGUGGCUUUUCAAGUCCGCCGUCAAAUCCCAGGGCUCAACCCUGGACAGGCGGUGGAAACUACCAAGCUGGAGUACGGUAGGGGCAGAGGGAAUUUCCGGUGGAGCGGUGAAAUGCGCAGAUAUCAGGAGGAACACCUAUGGCGAAGGCAGCUCGCUGGGACGUGACUGACGCUGAGACGCGAAAGCGUGGGGAGCAAACAGG